CCCUGUAAACUUUCCUGCUGUAACGUAACUGUGUUCACCGAGGCAGGCGCCUCAUCUGGAGUCGAGCAGUUCGCCGAGAUCCGCGUCACUCACUCCGCUGAGGCCAUGAAGAGAAGGCUUCAGAAAAAAUACAUCAUCUUAAUUUUAGGAUACUCCGUGGCGCUGCUUUUAAUUCCCUACGUACUAGAUUACCGGAGCAAAUCGCCCCAAGUAAGAGAUGGAUAUCAACAACGAAAGUGCCCCGAUUUGGAGAGCACCAUCGCCCUGUGGAGUAGCACCAGGACGGGCAACUCAACGGAGGUGGAGGACUAUAACGGCAACAGGAGUCAGUCCAGAACACACAUUUACCUCCACGCAACCUGGAGGACAGGCUCUUCUUUUUUAGGAGAAUUAUUUAAUCAGCAUCCUGAUGUGUUUUAUUUAUACGAGCCCAUGUGGAAUAUGUGGCAGGCGCUUUAUCCCGGAGAUGCGGGCAGUUUACAAGGAGCGGUAAGAGACAUGAUGAACUCUCUGUUUAGAUGCGACUUCUCAGUGUUAAAACUCUACGCAGGCUCGUCUAACGUAACCACCUCGUUUAUUUUCGGCUGGAAAACAAACAAGGUCAUUUGUUCCGAGCCUCUCUGCGAAGCGUACAAAAAGCACGAAAUCGGUUUAGUUCAGGGAGACGUGUGUAGCAAAUGUCAGCACAGAGACCUCAAAGAGCUGGAGAAAGAGUGUAAAAAGUACCCGGUGAUGGUCAUCAAAGACGUACGGGUUUUAGAUCUGGCGGUUCUGGUUCCCCUCAUGCGAGAUCCCGCCAUCAACCUCCAGAUAGUCCAGUUGUUUCGCGACCCCCGGGCCGUGCAUAAUUCCCGGCUGAAGUCUAAACUAGCUCUGGUGAAGGAGAGCAUACAGGUGCUGAGGAGCAAGAAGCAAAGCGAUAAAUACAAGCGCCUUCUGGUGCCUAGCAACAGAGUCCACCGAGCCGAGAACUACGUGUCGAGCGCGAUGGAGUUAAUAUGCGAUAACUGGCUCAACGACAUGUUGCUCGUUAUGAACGCUCCGCCGUGGGUGAAGAGAAACUACAUUCAGCUCAAAUACGAAGACCUGGUCCUCAGACCCGUGGACGAGCUCCAGAGGCUCUAUCGUUUCUCCAACCUCACCCUUUCUCCGGCCAUGGAGAAGUUUGUGGUGAACAUGACCCACGGACACGGCUAUUCUUCGGAUAAACCUUUCCUCAUAUCAUCCAGAGAUGCCAAAGAGGCGAUUUACGCCUGGAGGGAAAGGCUGAACGUGGAGCAGGUGAACCAGGUUGAAGCCUACUGCAAUGAGGUCAUGAGACAGCUGGGUUAUCAGAAGAGGAACAUGGACAAGACCUAAAACCACCAAAACAUGAGUUUAUGAAGAACUCAUACAAGUUUGGAACAGCCUGACGAAGUCUGAUGUGCUGGAGGAACAGAAGGACAAAGGGGGAACAGCCUGAUAUGAAGCUACACCAGAAGGUGCUGAGGAGCAACACCCCGAGAUCUCGUCACAGUGCCGUCACGGCGCACAGAGUAGACGACAGCAGAGAGACACUUACAAACCCAUUGACCUCAAACAA